rnacentral:tmRNA from 1 species
GGGGCUGAUUCUGGAUUCGACGGGAUUUGCGAAACCCAAGGUGCAUGCCGAGGGGCGGUUGGCCUCGUAAAAAGCCGCAAAAAAAUAGUCGCAAACGACGAAACCUACGCUUUAGCAGCUUAAUAACCUGCUUAGAGCCCUCUCUCCCUAGCCUCCGCUCUUAGGACGGGGAUCAAGAGAGGUCAAACCCAAAAGAGAUCGCGCGGAUGCCCUGCCUGGGGUUGAAGCGUUAAAACGAAUCAGGCUAGUCUGGUAGUGGCGUGUCCGUCCGCAGGUGCCAGGCGAAUGUAAAGACUGACUAAGCAUGUAGUACCGAGGAUGUAGGAAUUUCGGACGCGGGUUCAACUCCCGCCAGCUCC